GAUGAACGCUGGCGGCGUGCCUAAUACAUGCAAGUCGAGCGAACAGACGAGGAGCUUGCUCCUCUGACGUUAGCGGCGGACGGGUGAGUAACACGUGGAUGACCUACCUAUAAGACUGGGAUAACUUCGGGAAACCGGAGCUAAUACCGGAUAAUAUAUUGAACCGCAUGGUUCAAUAGUGAAAGACGGUUUUGCUGUCACUUAUAGAUGGAUCCGCGCCGCAUUAGCUAGUUGGUAAGGUAACGGCUUACCAAGGCAACGAUGCGUAGCCGACCUGAGAGGGUGAUCGGCCACACUGGAACUGAGACACGGUCCAGACUCCUACGGGAGGCAGCAGUAGGGAAUCUUCCGCAAUGGGCGAAAGCCUGACGGAGCAACGCCGCGUGAGUGAUGAAGGUCUUCGGAUCGUAAAACUCUGUUAUUAGGGAAGAACAAAUGUGUAAGUAACUAUGCACGUCUUGACGGUACCUAAUCAGAAAGCCACGGCUAACUACGCG
rnacentral:rRNA from 1 species